CUGUUGCUGUGGCAACCAGGCAGCCAGCCUUCUGCUCCAGCUAACAGCCAUGAGCCUCCUGCUGGCUACUUGGCUUGGGCACCUGCAGGGGAAGAUGCCCCCCAAGUGUCUGUUGGAAGAACUAUGAGAUGACUUCUGCCAGAGGGGCUCCCACACCUUCUUUCCAUGUCGGCCACUUCUCCAGCAACACUUCCUUACCCACUCGACUCCUCAUCUACAAGCUGAAGGAGGGAGGGCCCUCCAGGGGCAGAGAGAGGGCCACACACAGCUAGGACAGAAUCCCGCCAAUACAGCAAUGCAAGGAUAGACUGAUAAAGAUAUGCAUAAGGAAAUUCUGGAAGUGUACAUGAACAAAACAGUGGUUGGAGAGAACUGAGAACUGAGCAGAUCGGGGAUAAGACUUUCCAGAGUGAAAUGCAUACAUUCUGAUACUCCUUGACCUUAGAACCUGAUUAAUGUACUACCUAUGAGAAAUUAAAUACUCCAGAAAAAAAAAAUAUAUUGCAAGCAGUUUUGAUUAAAGAACAAUGGCAAAAUGUUAAUGUUACUUUUUUUUUCUUUUGGAAACUUAGUCUCGCUCUAUUGCCCAGACUGAAGUGCAGUAGUGUGAUCUUAGCUCACUGCAAGUUCUGCCUCCUUGGUUCAAGCAAUUCUCCUGCCUCAGUCUCCCAUGAGGCUGGGACUACAGACACAUGCCAUCAUGCCUGGCUAAUUUUUGUAUUUUUAGUAGAGACAGGGUUUUGCCAUGUUGGCCAGGCUGCUCUCGAACUCCUGACCUCAAGUGAUCUGCUUGCUUCAGCCUCCCAAAGUGCCAGGAUUACAGUCAUGAGCCACCACACCCAGGCUAAUUUUUUUUUUUUUUUUUUUGAGACAGGGUUUCACUUUGUUUCUCAGGCUGAAGUGCAGCUCACUGCAGGCUCAACCUCCCCUGCUCAAGCGA